rnacentral:rRNA from 1 species
UAGGGAAUAUUGGACAAUGGGGGCAACCCUGAUCCAGCCAUGCCGCGUGAGUGAAGAAGGCCCUCGGGUUGUAAAGCUCUUCUGUCCGGAAAGAAAAGCAUUCGGUGAAUACCCGGAUGUUCUGACGGUACCGGAAGAAUAAGCACCGGCUAACUUCGUGCCAGCAGCCGCGGUAAUACGAAGGGUGCAAGCGUUACUCGGAAUUACUGGGCGUAAAGCGUGCGUAGGUGGUUGUUUAAGUCUGAUGUGAAAGCCCUGGGCUCAACCUGGGAAUGGCAUUGGAAACUGGGCAGCUAGAGUGCGGUAGAGGGUAGUGGAAUUCCCGGUGUAGCAGUGAAAUGCGUAGAGAUCGGGAGGAACAUCUGUGGCGAAGGCGACUGCCUGGACCAGCACUGACACUGAGGCACGAAAGCGUGG